GCGCGUAAAUUGCCCGAAUCCUGACACAGGGAGGUAGUGACCAGAAAUAACAAUACAGGGCCUUUUAGGUCUUGUAAUUGGAAUGAGUACAAUUUACAUCUCUUCACGAGGAUCAAUGGGAGGGCAAGUCUGGUGCCAGCAGCCGCGGUAUUUCCAGCUCCAAUAGCGUAUAUUAAAGUUGUUGCAGUUAAAACGCUCGUAGUCGGAUUUCGGGGCGGGCCGGCCGGUCUGCCGAUGGGUAUGCACUGGUUGGCGCGUCCUUCCUCCCGGAGACCGCGCCUACUCUUAACUGAGCGGGCGCGGGAGACGGGACGUUUACUUUAAAAAAAUCAGAGUGUUUCAAGCAGGCAGUCGCUCUUGCAUGGAUUAGCAUGGGAUAAUGAAAUAGGACUCUGGUGCUAUUUUGUUGGUUUCGAACACCGGAGUAAUGAUUAACAGGGACAGUCAGGGGCACUCGUAUUCC
rnacentral:rRNA from 1 species